AUCAGUUUACUAUAUUUUAAAUUAAAUUAAACAUUUUAUGUAGGAGUAGUUUUUGAUGCUGAUAAAGGGUCACUUCUAAUGAUAAGUAUAUACCUCUCAAUCUUUGACUGGGGUCAAUUUGCAGCUCUUGGUGGGCAUCUGUUGAAGACAGUUACUACAAAAAAAUGCUAUUUUAUUUAUUUUAUCCAGAGAGCUUCUUUUGGGACUGAUGACUUCAAGAUAGGAGGAUUGGGCUGUCGUUAGAUUAUUUUUAUAUAUAUAUAUAGAAAGGUUGAGCCUGUAGGUGGAGCCUGACAUUGUGGGAGGGGUUACCCAGCCUGUAAAUCCACAGGCCACCCAUUCCUCUGGGCGGAUACUGCUUGGAUCAGUAUAGAACCAUCUACUUCCAAUUCAAAAGUCGUCAACACAAACUACUUAAGCUCCAAACAAGCUGGUCUUGGCCUUCUGCGGCCUACGCAAGUAUUCAUUUUUACGUAGUUACAUAGCUGAAAAGAGAAAUGGGUCCAUCAAGUCCAACCUUUCUUACAUUUGUUUUUGCUGUUUAUCCAAAAGAAGGCAAAAACACAGUCUGAAACACUUCCAGUUUAGCAGCAAACUAGGGGAAAAAAAUCCUCUUGACCUCAGAAUGGCAGUCCGAUAUCUCCUUGGAUCAAAAAGCUAUUAUCCAACUAAUUAAGAAUGUUAUAUUCCUGUAAAUUAUGUUUUGCAAGUAUUUAUCCAAUUGCUGUUUAAACAUCUGUACAGACUCUGAUAAAAGCAUCUCUUCAGCCAAAGAAUUCCACAUCCUUAUUGUUUUUACUGUAAAAUACCCUUUCCAAUGGCCUUACACGAAAUAUCCUUUGUUUCAGUCUUAAUGCGUGACCUGAUGUCCUAUGUAUAGUCCUGUUUAUGAAUAGUCUCCAACAAUGGAUCUAAUAAAUUAUUGUAUCCACAUAGGGAGAGACUCUUUGUGGGAAAACUGGGUUUGAUAGAACAAUCGGUGGUGUGGAAGUUGGAGGCGUUAAAAGCACAACACAGUGAUUUAAUGCCUGUGAAAUGACGGGGGAAUAGUUCUGUGUCUGAUAGGUUCUGAGCUGAACUGAUGUUGAAUUGAGCCAAAGCCGCAGCAGAUUUGGCCUAAAAAGAUUUAUCCCAAUGUAUGCACAAGACCUUGGAACUGUUUUCAUCUCAGAGUAUUCCGCUGUCUUAAGAUUAAACCAUAGGCCCCUCCUCCAGUUUCAUUUUCUGGGUAUACAACUGUAUAUUACAUUCCAAAACUCCCCACCUCUUCCCGAAGGCAAGUUCAAGCAUAUCAGGACACGUGGAGUCCUUCCUUGGCAAAAAUGUCUGUUCCUGUUUGGAUCUCCAGUUUCUCCUUGGUUCUCUGAUCUUUGCCAUAUGCAUUUACCACAAGGUCGCAACUUCAUUUCUCGACUACUCAGGUGGCUCCCUGGUUACCUAUCGAUAAUUGCACUGAGACACUCGAUGCUCAGGCUCGAGCAGACCUGUUUAUGGGGCUACAUGUCUUAUCCCACUGGAACGGGAAAGCCAUGUUCCUUCCCUCACUGUCUGACGAAUCCCCAGUUAUCUGAACUGACACUGCUGCCCACACUGGAUUUGCAGCUACAUUCAAGAAUAACUGGUUCCAUGACAUAUGGCCCGCAGAGACGCAGAGCCUACGCUCUUUUAGUUAAACUUCAGCUGUCUUUGAAGUAUACUCUAUCGUGGCCACUGCACACACCUGUUGGUCUGUAUGGAGGGGGAUAUCUGUUAAUUGCUACUCUGGCAACACAGCAGCAUGUGAAAUUAUAAAUAAAGGUCAGUCCUCCUCACUAACAAUAAUGAGGUUAAUUGGGAAGUUGACUUGGCUGACAGUAAUACAACAGUCUUACCUGUUUUGUUGUCACUGACCACAAAUAUACAUUUAUAUAAUUUGUGUGUUCUUUUAAUCACUCGGGACUGAGGGCAAGAUGAGACAGCUGUCUCUGCAGUUGGAGCAUGCAGGAGCAGUGCAGUAAAUGCCAUGAUUGCUACAGGCAGUCAAUUAGAUAUUUUGAUCUCCUCUAUCUAACCAAUCACAUGAUUAUGCACUUUGUUUGCACCAGAGAAAGGAUGGUAUGUAGGGUAUCUAUGGUAUCAACAUCAUGCGUUGGAGAUACCUGCUACUGUACUAAGGAUUGGAUGCAGAGGCAGUACCUAGAGGUAGGGCAUUUUUUCACCUUACCAAAAUUAAAUUGUUCCCUGGCUGAAAAUGUCUCCAAGUAUGGAGUUUAAAUGCUGCCUCCUCCUCCAAGUGCUGCCUGGGUCCAAGGAACCCACUGCAAAGCCCUAUGGACUGUUUCUGUUGCUGUAUGCAUAUUUUAAGGAAUACUUAUGCUCCUAUGCUGAAUACAUGCAAACUAAGCUUAAUUUCUACCCAUACUGCAAACUCUAGUGACAGAGAGUUGAACUCAUUUCACUGGACAGUUCAGCAAUGAGCUCAGAAUUCUGGCAUUAACUGGAUCUUUCAUAUCACAAGACCCUCCAACCUUAGGAUCAAUUGAAAGUUAUAAUAGGCUUCUAACAGAGCAAAUUUGGAAACUCAAAUAGAAUACUGCAUGAGUAUACUGACAGGACCAUCAGAUACCGUAACAGUGGCUCCAUGCAUGGGCGUCUUGCCCCCCCUGGAUUUUUCAGCUUGUGCUGGAGUUUUUGUUUUGAGAGUGAGAAUACACUGCAGUACUGGCGCCGGCCAGUAGGUGGUGCUGUGUGUGUAGAGUGCCAGGGAUAGGUAACUACAUCUUAUCCCUGCUUCUCUCUGACUGAAUCCGCAUGGGAGCAGCACAGAGUGCAGCCAGCAACUCACAGACUGCAGAGACAGCCUACAGAUCAGGGAAGUGAGGCAUGGGGGGGC